rnacentral:rRNA from 1 species
AUGAACGCUGGCGGCGUGCCUAAUCCCUGCAAGUCGCGCGAACAGACGAGAAGCUUGCUCCUCUGACGUUAGCGGCGGACGGGUGAGUAACACGUGGAUAACCUACCUAUAAGACUGGGAUAACUUCGGGAAACCGGAGCUAAUACCGGAUAAUAUAUUGAACCGCAUGGUUCAAUAGUGAAAGACGGUUUUGCUGUCACUUAUAGAUGGAUCCGCGCCGCAUUAGCUAGUUGGUAAGGUAACGGCUUACCAAGGCAACGAUGCGUAGCCGACCUGAGAGGGUGAUCGGCCACACUGGAACUGAGACACGGUCCAGACUCCUACGGGAGGCAGCAGUAGGGAAUCUUCCGCAAUGGGCGAAAGCCUGACGGAGCAACGCCGCGUGAGUGAUGAAGGUCUUCGGAUCGUAAAACUCUGUUAUUAGGGAAGAACAAAUGUGUAAGUAACUAUGCACGUCUUGACGGUACCUAAUCAGAAAGCCACGGCUAACUACGUG